rnacentral:tRNA from 1 species
AGAAACUUAGGAUAAAUAAGACCAAGUGCCUUCAAAGCUCUAAGUAGAAGUUAAAAUCUUCUAGUUUCUG